rnacentral:tRNA from 1 species
UGCCGAAACUCGGGAUCGAACCAGAGACCUUUAGAUCUUCAGUCUAACGCUCUCCCAACUGAGAUAUUCCGGC